rnacentral:rRNA from 1 species
ACUAGCAGUAAGAGUUUGAUCAUGGCUCAGAACGAACGCUGGCGGCAUGCCUAACACAUGCAAGUCGAACGCCCCGCAAGGGGAGUGACGAACGGGUGAGUAACGCGUGGGAACCUGCCCAGCAGUUGGGGAUAACCGCGGGAAACUGCGGCUAAUACCGAAUACGUCCUUAGGGAGAAAGAUUUAUCGCUGUUGGAGGGGCCCGCGUCGGAUUAGCUAGUUGGUGAGGUAACGGCUCACCAAGGCUGCGAUCCGUAGCUGGUCUGAGAGGAUGAUCAGCCACACUGGGACUUAGACACGGCCCAGACUCCUACGGGAGGCAGCAGUAAGGAAUAUUGCGCAAUGGGCGAAAGCCUGACGCAGCAACGCCGCGUGGGGGAGGAAGGCCUUCGGGUUGUAAACCCCUUUUGCGAGGGAAGAAGUUCUGACGGUACCUCGCGAAUAAGCCACGGCUAACUACGUGCCAGCCGCCGCGGUAAUAC